AACGAACGCUGGCGGCAUGCCUAACACAUGCAAGUCGAACGAGAUCUUCGGGUCUAGUGGCGCACGGGUGCGUAACGCGUGGGAAUCUGCCCUUUGGUUCGGAAUAACAGUUGGAAACGACUGCUAAUACCGGAUGAUGACGAAAGUCCAAAGAUUUAUCGCCAGAGGAUGAGCCCGCGUAGGAUUAGCUAGUUGGUGUGGUAAAGGCGCACCAAGGCGACGAUCCUUAGCUGGUCUGAGAGGAUGAUCAGCCACACUGGGACUGAGACACGGCCCAUACUCCUACGGGAGGCAGAAGUGGGGAAUAUUGGACAAUGGGCGAAAGCCUAAUCCAGCAAUGCCGCGUGAGUGAUGAAGGCCUUAGGGUUGUAAAGCUCUUUUACCCGGGAUGAUAAUGACAGUACCGGGAGAAUAAGCUCCGGCUAACUCCGUGCCAGCCGCCGCGGUAU
rnacentral:rRNA from 1 species